UACGAAGGGGGCUAGCGUUGCUCGGAAUUACUGGGCGUAAAGGGAGCGUAGGUGGACUGUUUAGUCAGAGGUGAAAGCCCAGGGCUCAACCUUGGAAUUGCCUUUGAUACUGGCAGUCUUGAGUACGGAAGAGGUAUGUGGAACUCCGAGUGUAGAGGUGAAAUUCGAAGAUAUUCGGAAGAACACCAGUGGCGAAGGCGACAUACUGGUCCGUUACUGACGCUGAGGCUCGAAAGCGUGGGGAGCAAACAGG
rnacentral:rRNA from 1 species